ACUCAAAUGAAUUGACGGGAGAGCGCACAACCAGGGGAGCAUGUGGUUUAAUUCGAUACGAAGCGAAAGACCUUACCCAGAUUUGACAUGUAAUCGUACAUUUUUUCAGAAAUGAGAAGAAAUCCGCAAGGAUGAUUACACAGCUGUUGCAUGGCUGUCGUAAGCUCGUGCCGUGGGGUGUCGACUUAAGUGUCGAAACGAGCGCAACCCCCAUCUUAUGUUCAAUAGUCAUGAGAAACUGCUCUGCUUUUGGUAGAGAGGAAGGAGGGGAUGACGUCAAGUCAGCAUGACGCUUAUAUCUGGGGCUACACACAUCCUACAAUGGGACGUAACAACGGGUUGCCAAGCCGUAAGGCGGAGCCAAUCCCACCAAACCGUCCCCCAGUUCAGAUCGAGGGCUGCAACUCGCCCUCGUGAAGCCGGACUUGGUAGUAAUCGCAGAUCAGCAGGCUGCGGUGAAUACGUUCUCGCUCUUUGUACACACCGCCCGU
rnacentral:rRNA from 1 species